CGAGCGCACCUUCGGGUGAGCGGCGGACGGGUUAGUAACGCGUGGGAACAUACCCUUUGGUACGGAAUAGCCUCUGGAAACGGAGAGUAAUACCGUAUGAGCCCUUCGGGGGAAAGAUUUAUCGCCAAAGGAUUGGCCCGCGUUAGAUUAGGUAGUUGGUGGGGUAAUGGCCUACCAAGCCUACGAUCUAUAGCUGGUUUUAGAGGAUGAUCAGCAACACUGGGACUGAGACACGGCCCAGACUCCUACGGGAGGCAGCAGUGGGGAAUCUUGGACAAUGGGGGCAACCCUGAUCCAGCCAUGCCGCGUGAGUGAUGAAGGCCUUAGGGUCGUAAAGCUCUUUCGCCUGUGAAGAUAAUGACGGUAGCAGGUAAAGAAACCCCGGCUAACUCCGUGCCAGCAGCCGCGGUAAUACGGAGGGGGUUAGCGUUGUUCGGAAUUACUGGGCGUAAAGCGCACGUAGGCGGACUGGAAAGUUGGGGGUGAAAUCCCAGGGCUCAACCCUGGAACUGCCUCCAAAACUAUCAGUCUAGAGUUCGAGAGAGGUGAGUGGAAUUCCGAGUGUAGAGGUGAAAUUCGUAGAUAUUCGGAGGAACACCAGUGGCGAAGGCGGCUCACUGGCUCGAUACUGACGCUGANGUGCGAANGUGUGGGGAGCAAACAGGAUUAGAUACCCUGGUAGUCCACACCGUAAACGAUGAAUGCCAGUCGUCGGGUAGCAUGCUAUUCGGUGACACACCUAANGGAUUAANCAUUCC
rnacentral:rRNA from 1 species